UAUGUUUCUUAUUUCUCAUUUGAAUUUGACUUCUAAACGCUGAGCUAGGGUUUAGAGCUUUUGUAUGUUUUGAAUACUAUUUUUCUUUUGAAUUUACCUUCAGUAAUAGUGAGUUAGGAUUUAUUGUUCUUGUGAUCCUUGGGUUAAUGUGUUAGUAUGCUGGAAAUUGAGAUAUUUGUGGCAUUGGGCACAUAUAAACUUUUUAUUCAUUGAGUUGAGCUUUGAGAGUUUUAGCAUAGUAGAUAUUAGUUUACAAAGCUAAUAUGAGGAUAGACUUUUAGCAUGUUUGGUUUUGCGGUGGAAAGCUCGUAGAGGUGCGUAUGUCCAGAAGCUAAGAAUUCUAGCUUCUUAAAAUCAUGUGGAAAUCACAUUGGAACACGCAUUGAAGGGUUGUCAUGGUUUUUUGAUUAUGAUGGUGAAGUAUAGUAUUAAUCAUGUGCUUAGCAGUUUUCUGCGCAUGUAUCAGCUCGCCGAAGGUGGUACAGCUGUAGGAACUGGAUUGAAUACUGUUCUUGGCGUCUAUCAUCACAUGCAGAAAAACAUUGGCUUGUAAUGUGCUCAUAUUCUCCUUUUGCAGGCUGCCCGUGAUGCUUUUGUUGAAACUAGUAGAGUCCUCAACACAAUUGCAGCUUCUUUAAUGAAGAUUGCUAAUGAUACUUUUUAUAUGAAGGCAUUGAGAGACGGUUGGGAGAGCCAAUUUCAGUGGGUGUGGACGAUCAACAGACUUUGAUGCUGCAGCCAGUGCAGAAAAAUCUCUUGAGACAUGCUCACUUGUGGAGCAUAUAUUACAUUUGGAACCAACCAAGGGGGAAGAUAUUAGUGUAUGUGUUUGUUUAGCAAGUUUGAUGUCAUUAUUUGAUGAAAAAGGAGACAAAGCAGGAUCCACCACCUACAUUGCGUUGAAAAAUUGUCAUUUGAAGGAUUUGCGAAUUUUGUAAAGGAGAUGUUGUUGCUAUUACCAAUGCAUUAGAACGAUAUCAGGAAUUGGAUCCAACUUUUGGCAGAUGUUGCUGCUGCAAUUGAUGAAGAAGACGUUGGAAAGUUCAAUGAAGUUGUGAAGGAGUUUGAUGGCAUGAUUCCUUUUGAUUCUUGGAAAACAAAACUUAAUCUGAGGGAGCUUGAGGAGGAUGAUCUGACUUGAAUUGUAUCUUAGUUUUGUGAUGGUUGCGCUUCAGGUUUGAUUGUCUAAAUGGGAACUCUAAAAGCAUUCGGGUUUGUUCAUGUAGAUGCCUACUACAAUUGAGGAGUUGGAAGCAGCAAUCUUAUUUGUCAAUCGUAACAUAUUGGAACAAUAUGAGGAUUGUCAAAGAGAAGUACUCUUCAUUGUUGUAAUUUAUUGUUGUAAUUUUUGUUUGGUUAUUUCAGAUGCCAUCUAUAUUUACCGUGACUUUACAGAUAGAAGAUCUUGCAAAAAAAACUCGAUGCAAACAAGAAGGAAUCUAGAAAAUGUCUAGCUGAAUUGGAUGAUAUUAAGGGAAAAUGGCUUCCAACACUCAGAUAAAUGAAACUUUUAGUCAAAAUUUUCAACAGAUAGGUGUUGCCGGAGGGGUUUCACUAGGUAUGUGAAAUGAUAACUGAAUUAUCAUUUUUUAUUUGGCCUUCUUAUGCUUCCAUCGUCAGCCACGUUUCUCCACUUCUCAGAUGAGCAUGAUAUGGACUUUUGAUCAAUUUGGAAUUUAUAUAACAGGACAUUCAACCAUUGUUUAUCUUCUUUCCCUUCAAGAUCUUACGAACUCUCCAUUUAGAGUUGUUCAUGAGAUCCGUACAUUUUUUUCUGAAUUAACUGCAUUCAGCACUCAAAAGAUCUUCUUUGACUCUUUUUUUUACCCAAUAAAUGAAAGGAAGAUUUUUGAGCAAUUAGUGAGAGCGUCAAGCAAGCCAAAUACACCACAGGGAGUACCAACUAAUGUGCUCAGUUCCCCCAUAACGUGAGAGUGACCAUUAAUCAUAUUCUGGACUACUGGUGAUCCGUGGAGUAUUAUCACCGGACAUGUUGGAGAGAUGAUGUGUCAAGCACCAUGGAGUUGCAAUGGGGAUUCAUAGCAUUUGUUUAGCAUUUUGUAUAGUUUUUUGGAAGGAAAAAAACAAAGUUUGCAUUGGAGGGAACUUGUUUUUUUCCCUAUAUCCUAACAAUGUAAACAUACAUUUUUUUUUUUACUGUAAUGAUGAGGAUUAAUAAGUAUUUCUUGUACAACGGUAAGGUUUUAAUGCAUCUUAUUUAAUUUCGUAUUUA